rnacentral:tRNA from 1 species
GUGAGGUAAUUUAUUUGUUAAAAUAGUAUUUUGUGGUAAUAAAAAAGAAUUUAUUUUCUCUUACA